AAAAAAGGAGAAAAAUUAAGAGUCACCGAAAACAAGAGAUGAAUGAAGAUAAGAAAUUAACAUUCAAAAGGUACCUGAAUGCCACAGCACUAAGGAAAAGGCUCUGAAUUCACACCACCUUGCAGCACAUCAAUCACACGAGGUGUCUUCUGAGUUUCACUUACUAACUUCAGGAGAAGACAAAAUUGCACAGAAUUUGCCCCCACCCCUGAUUUUAAAUGACAGCACAAAAAAGGUUCCCCAUCUGACCAAUCGAACAGGUAAAACCUGCGGAGCCUUCAGUGGCAGGCAAAGGCAAAUACGGGCAUGGGGACAUUGGUAGACCAAAGGCAUCUACCACCAUAACUCGUUCGGAAAUCACAGCAAGUUUCAGGCAAAAAGUCCAUUAAUGCCUCAAAGGCAGGAGGGAGGGAAAGGAACGAGUGUGUUCCAGCCAUUCGAAAUGACCUCUCUGUUGAGGAUUAGCCUUGCAUCUCUGGUUGCCAAAACCCUGUCUCCUCCAUCAAGGUGCAACAGACCUACUUGCAGCUACACUGAU